UGGUGGAGUGAUUUGUCUGGUUAAUUCCGUUAACGAACGAGACCUCGACCUGCUAAAUAGUGUGGCGGUGCCUCACGGCACGGUUUGCACACUUCUUAGAGGGACUAUCGGUGGUUAGCCGGUGGAAGUUCGAGGCAAUAACA
rnacentral:rRNA from 1 species